GUUUCUUUACAUGGUAUCAGAGCUCUUCAAAUGAGGAGCUCUGCUGCGCACUCACUAUCCUCCUAUCCUUCUUUCUUCCAAACAUUCGCUGUUCAUCAUGAACGAAGCUGCAUUCAACAAUGUUGAGAGUUAUUUGUACCUUCAUCCAAGCGAAAAUCCAGCUGCUGCUCUUGUCUCCCCAGUGCUGGACUCAACCAACUACCAUUCAUGGAGUCGCUCCAUGAUCACUGCACUUAGUGCCAAAAACAAGCUAGAGUUUGUGGACGGAAGCGCGCCGGAACCACUUAAAACGGACAGAACAUACGGAGCUUAGCGACAAUGCAAUAAUAUGGUGGUAUCCUGGAUAGUACACUCAGUUGCUGCUUCUAUAAGACAAAGCGUGCUCUGGAUGGACAAAGCCGAAG
rnacentral:lncRNA from 1 species